UACCAGACUCCUACGGGAGGCAGCAGUGAGGAAUAUUGGUCAAUGGGCGAGAGCCUGAACCAGCCAAGUCGCGUGAAGGAUGAAGGAUCUAUGGUUUGUAAACUUCUUUUAUAUGGGAAUAAAGUGAGGAACGUGUUCCUUUUUGUAUGUACCAUAUGAAUAAGCAUCGGCUAACUCCGUGCCAGCAGCCGCGGUAAUACGGAGGAUGCGAGCGUUAUCCGGAUUUAUUGGGUUUAAAGGGUGCGUAGGUGGUUAAUUAAGUCAGCGGUGAAAGUUUGUGGCUCAACCAGAAAAUGGCCGGGGAAACGGGUGGACGUGAGGAGAGUUGAGGUAGGCGGAAUGCGUGGUGGAGCGGUGAAAGGCAGAGAGAGCACGCAGAACGCCGAGGGCGAAGGCAGCUGACGAAACUAGAACUGACACGGAAGCACGAAAGCGGGGGGAUCAAACAGGAGGAGAGACCCGCGUAC
rnacentral:rRNA from 1 species